UAGCUCAGUCGGUAGAGCAUCAG
rnacentral:piRNA from 3 species